CCCCUCCCGGUCUGUGGAAACAUUGCCUUCCAAGAAACCGGUCCCUGGUGCCGAGAAGGUUACGGACCCUGCUAUAAAGGAUCUGUUUUGGAACACAAAUGGGCAUUUUCAUCUGGCAUCAUCUCAUACUUUGAGCUCUGGCCAAAAAGAUAGGGAACCAGGGACUGGGCCAGUGAAGCUCCCCCCAGCUCCCAGGGCUACCGGAGGCCAGCUUCUGCAGACUCAAAUAAUCAGAACCCAUCACUGAAAUAUUCAAGGAGAAAUUAGAUAACUUUUAUUCUUCUUCAUGAACUCCCUUUUCAUCUUAACGCAAGCUGUUAAGUGCAUUAAGAUGCGAUGUGAUUUAGUCCAGCGUGGUAGUGGUCACUGGUUUGCCAAUAAUAAUUCUAAAUUGUUAUGUACCCAUUACCGAAUAAACAGGCUGCAGGCACGGGCCUGACCUCGAGGCACAUCUAGCCAUUUGAGGAGGUCACACAGGCACACUUCAGUAGAACUGGCAGUACAGGCAGGCUCCACGGCAUGCGGGCAGAGGGAUGUUUAAAGUUUCUCUAAUACUUACUGAUUCUGUAUUAUGGAUCGCCUGAGCUUUUAUAGAAAAUGUGGGACAUACAGGAGUAUACAGAGGAAUAAGCUGCCUGUAACCCCUGCCCAGGGAGACCACCGUAUGCACUUGUAUGUGGGGCGUUUUCAGUACAGCAGUGGUUCGUUCUUCUAACCAAAAGGAGUAUGCCAGUUUUCUGGACAUCAGCAGUUCCCAGUAACUCCUUUGGCUGAUAAUAGCAAGUUUCUGAGAAAGUGCUUGUGAUAUUUCACAUUCUCGUGGUCUUCUCCUUUUACAGCCUCAAGCAGCCUGCCACCCUGCCAUAUUCCGGGUUGUUGAUGAGAUGUUCAGGUGUGCACUCCUGGAAACCGAUGGAGCCCUGGAAAUCAUAGCCACUAUUCAGGUGUUUACGCAGUGCUUUGUAGAAGCUCUGGAGAAAGAAAGCAAGCAGCUGCGGUUUGCACUCAAGACCUACUUUCCUUACACUUCUCCAUCUCUUGGCAUGGUGCUGCUGCAAGACCCUCAAGAUAUCCCUCGGGGACACUGGCUCCAGACACUGAAGCAUAUUUCUGAACUGCUCAGAGAAGCAGUUGAAGACCAGACUCAUGGGUGAGCAAACACUGACCACUCCCAAAUCUACUUCACACAUGGUUUCCCUAGAUCCUCAUCUGCCCUUUGAGCAGGGCUGACAGAGGAAGGCAUUACUGGUCUGGGACCAUCACCAAACAGGUGAGCACCAUGGUGAAGUGAGAAGUGGAGGAAGCGCAUGGCUGCACGGAUGGCUUGGAGCAGGUCAGGAUGAAUAGGCAUGCGCAUGUAUGCGUGUGUCAAUACCUGUAUCGAAACGUUUUCUACAUUAACGUCUGGUUUUAGAUUUUGAAAUAUACAGGCAUAACAAUAAAAAGAAGAGGCCUUGGAAAAAGCAGCACCCACCUGCUGGGAACCCCUCCCUGGCCGCACAGAAGGGAAAGGGCACUUGUUUGGGUCCUGUGGUCUUCCCUCUACCUCUCUAGGGAAGGAGAUUUGAAACUCCUACACAGUAGGGUGGAAUGUUAAAUGCUUGCUUUUCCUUCUCUCUAAUAAAUAUCUCUAAAAUGAGAAAA
rnacentral:sRNA from 1 species